rnacentral:rRNA from 1 species
AUUGAACGCUGGCGUCAGGCCUAACACAUGCACGUCGAGCGGAGCGGCGGAAGGGUGAGUAAUGCCUAGGAAUCUGCCUGGUCGUGGGGGAUAACGUAAGGAAACGGGCGCUAAUACCGCAUAAUAUCCGAUGAACCUAGGUCGGAUUAGUGAGUUGGUGGGGUAAAGUCCUACCAAGGGGGCGAGCCGGAACUGGGCUGAGAGGAUGAUCAGUCACACUGGAACUGAGACACGGUCCAGACUCCUACGGGAGGCAGCAGUGGGGAAUAGUGGACAAUGGGCGAAAGCCUGAUCCAGCCAUGCCGCGUGUGUGAAGAAGUUCUUCGGAUUGUAAAGCACUUUAAGUUGGGAGGCGUUACCAACAGAAUAAGCACCGGCUAACUUCGUGCCAGCAGCCGCGGUAAUAC